rnacentral:rRNA from 1 species
UACGAAGGGGGCGAGCGUUGUUCGGAUUUACUGGGCGUAAAGGGCGCGUAGGCGGCCCUCCUUGUCGCGUGUGAAAGCCCCGGGCUCAACCUGGGAACGGCGCGCGAGACGGGGGGGCUGGAGUUCGGGAGAGGAGCGUGGAAUUCCCAGUGUAGAGGUGAAAUUCGUAGAUAUUGGGAAGAACACCGGUGGCGAAGGCGGCGCUCUGGACCGAGACUGACGCUGAGGCGCGAAAGCGUGGGGAGCGAACAGG